rnacentral:misc_RNA from 1 species
ACAAACUUGGUCAUUUAGAGGAAGUAAAAGUCGUAACAAGGUUUCCGUAGGUGAACCUGCGGAAGGAUCAUUAUUGAAUAACUUGGUACUGAUGCUGGCCCUCCGGGGCAUGUGCUCGUAUCAUCUUAUUUAUCUAUCUCUUGUGCACCUCUUGUAGUCUUUGAAGUGAGAACAACGGUGGUCUGGGCUUUUCGGGUCCUUUCCCUGCUUGCUUCAAAGGCUAUGUUUUCAUACACACUAUUGAAGUUAUAGAAUGUCUAUUUAUUGACUCUUGUCAGUAAAACCUAUACAACUUUCAGCAACGGAUCUCUUGGCUCUCCCAUCGAUGAAGAACGCAGC